UUGGAGGCCAGGUAUGUAGGAA
rnacentral:misc_RNA from 1 species